GACGAACGCUGGCGGCGUGCUUAACACAUGCAAGUCGAACGGAAAGGCCCUGCUUUUGUGGGGUGCUCGAGUGGCGAACGGGUGAGUAACACGUGAGUAACCUGCCCUUGACUUUGGGAUAACUUCAGGAAACUGGGGCUAAUACCGGAUAGGAGCUCCUGCUGCAUGGUGGGGGUUGGAAAGUUUCGGCGGUUGGGGAUGGACUCGCGGCUUAUCAGCUUGUUGGUGGGGUAGUGGCUUACCAAGGCUUUGACGGGUAGCCGGCCUGAGAGGGUGACCGGCCACAUUGGGACUGAGAUACGGCCCGGACUCCUACGGGAGGCAGCAGUGGGGAAUAUUGCACAAUGGGCGGAAGCCUGAUGCAGCAACGCCGCGUGCGGGAUGACGGCCUUCGAGUUGUAAACCGCUUUCGCCUGUGACGAAGCGUGAGUGACGGUAAUGGGUAAAGAAGCACCGGCUAACUACGUGCCAGCAGCCGCGGUGAUACGUAGGGUGCGAGCGUUGUCCGGAUUUAUUGGGCGUAAAGGGCUCGUAGGUGGUUGAUCGCGUCGGAAGUGUAAUCUUGGGGCUUAACCCUGAGCGUGCUUUCGAUACGGGUUGACUUGAGGAAGGUAGGGGAGAAUGGAAUUCCUGGUGGAGCGGUGGAAUGCGCAGAUAUCAGGAGGAACACCAGUGGCGAAGGCGGUUCUCUGGGCCUUUCCUGACGCUGAGGAGCGAAAGCGUGGGGAGCGAACAGGCUUAGAUACCCUGGUAGUCCACGCUGUAAACGGUGGGUACUAGGUGUGGGGUCCAUUCCACGGGUUCCGUGCCGUAGCUAACGCUUUAAGUACCCCGCCUGGGGAGUACGGCCGCAAGGCUAAAACUCAAAGGAAUUGACGGGGCCCCGCACAAGCGGCGGAGCAUGCGGAUUAAUUCGAUGCAACGCGUAGAACCUUACCUGGGUUUGACAUGGGUCGGGAGUGCUCAGAGAUGGGUGUGCCUCUUUUGGGGUCGGUUCACAGGUGGUGCGUGGCUGUCGUCAGCUCGUGUCGUGAGAUGUUGGGUUAAGUCCCGCAACGAGCGCAACCCUUGUUCACUGUUGCCAGCACGUUAUGGUGGGGACUCAGUGGAGACCGCCGGGGUCAACUCGGAGGAAGGUGGGGAUGACGUCAAGUCAUCAUGCCCCUUAUGUCCAGGGCUUCACGCAUGCUACAAUGGCUGGUACAGAGAGUGGCGAGCCUGUGAGGGUGAGCGAAUCUCGGAAAGCCGGUCUCAGUUCGGAUUGGGGUCUGCAACUCGACCUCAUGAAGUCGGAGUCGCUAGUAAUCGCAGAUCAGCAACGCUGCGGUGAAUACGUUCCCGGGGCU
rnacentral:rRNA from 1 species